rnacentral:misc_RNA from 1 species
UCACUCUCUCUUUUUUUUUUUUUUGGCUCCUCAUACUAUUUAACUUUUUCGAAUAAGCAUUUGCGCUUUAUAGUAAAUGAUUCAUAACUAUCCCACUGCCCUUUUGGUACCUCAUCUCAUCAUUCUCUUUCAUCAAACCUCAAAAGCUGUGCAUAAAGCGACGUCAAAGUAUUUUAUCAAUAACAGUACUGCUCUUUAUCAAAAGUCUGGCCCAAACGUUUUUCAUUUUAGAUUUAAUUUGUUUCACAUUUUGAAGGCAGUCUAUAAAGCAGGGAAGAAAAUCAGAACUAACAACACAUCGUUAAAUGGUAUUAAAUAUUUCCUUGAGCAAAUCAUGAGAUUGUAUCAGAACAAGAAGCCAAAUAUUUAAGUCAAACUACAAGCUGAAAACCAGCAAUGCUUAGCCUCCAUGGCAUGUUUCUAACUAUUGAAGAGCAGCACCACAGUUUCAGAUAGCAUAAUGGGACAGAAAAGGGGCCUGCCUUAUAAGCUAAUAGGGCAGGCAAAACUAUUAGUGCACUGAUAGUUACGUAAAGGAUCUUUUGAUCAAUAAAUUUUUUUUCUUCUAUAGUUUUUCAGUGUUUCUACCUCACACUCAUCCAUGGUUUUAAUGGAAAAAUCUCAAAAUAACCUACCUAUGAAAUUCUUCUUUUGUGAGUGUGUGUGUGUGUAUGUGAGAGA